CUGGAGGUCCUAGCAACUUGUCCUAUCUGCGGUCAGGGAGAUGAAGAUGAAUACCACGCUGUUGUUAGCUGCACUAAGGCCCGGGCAUUGACGACAGAAAUAAGAAAUAGGUGGGAACUGCCAACCGAGAAAGGUUUUGCAUACACUGGACCAAACUGGCUGCAGUGCUUGCUAGACCCAUGUAAUGAAACAACCAGAGACAGAAUUCUACUACUAUUCUGGAGGGCGUGGUACUUACGUGAAGACUGCGUACAUGGUGAAGGGAAAGCA
rnacentral:rRNA from 1 species